rnacentral:rRNA from 1 species
GAUGAACGCUGGCGGCAUGCCUAAUACAUGCAAGUCGAGCGAACACACGAGGAGCUUUCUCCUCUUACGUUAGCGGCGGGCGGGUGAGUAACACAUGGAUAACCUACCUAUAUGACUGGGAUAACUUCGGGAAACCGGAGCUAAUUCCUGCUUAUAUCUUGAACCUGAUGGUUCAAUAGUGCAAGACGGUUUUUCUUUCACUUGUCGAUGGAUUCGCGCCGCAUUAGCUAGUUGGUAAGGUAACGGCUUACCAAGGCAACGAUUCGUAGGCGACCUGAGAGGAGGAUCGGCCACACUGGAACUGAGACACGGCCCAGACUCCUACGGGAGGCAGCAGUAGGGAAUCUUAGGCAAUGGGCGAAAGCCUGACGGAGCAAAGCCGCGUGAGUGAAGAAGGUCUUCGGAUAGUAAAACUCUGUUGUUAGGGAAGAAAAAAUGUGUAAGAAACUAUGCAGGCAUUGACGGUACCGAAUGAAUAAGGAACGGCUAACUACGUG